rnacentral:rRNA from 1 species
UACGAUGGGGGCUAGCGUUACUCGGAUUGACUGGGCGUAAAGGGCGCGUAGGCGGCUUGUACAGUCAGACGUGAAAUUCCUGGGCUCAACCUGGGGGCUGCGUUUGAUACGUGCGGGCUUGAGUUCGGAGGAGGGUCGUGGAAUUCCCAGUGUAGAGGUGAAAUUCGUAGAUAUUGGGAAGAACACCGGUGGCGAAGGCGGCGACCUGGUCCGAUACUGACGCUGAGGCGCGAAAGCGUGGGGAGCAAACAGG